UGCCAGCCGCCGCGGUAAUACGAAGGGAGCUAGCGUUGUUCGGAAUUACUGGGCGUAAAGCGUACGUAGGCGGACUUUUAAGUCAGGGGUGAAAUCCCGAGGCUCAACCUCGGAACUGCCUUUGAUACUGGAAGUCUUGAGACCGAGAGAGGUGAGUGGAAUUCCUAGUGUAGAGGUGAAAUUCGUAGAUAUUAGGAAGAACACCAGUGGCGAAGGCGGCUCACUGGCUCGGUACUGACGCUGAGGUACGAAAGCGUGGGGAGCAAACAGGAUUAGAUA
rnacentral:rRNA from 1 species